AAAACAACAGAGAACACUCACUCCAUGUUCAGCAUGAAGGAGAACUGCAUGAUCCAGGGAGGUUUAGGGGACCAAGAAGGUGGAUAGGCUCUAACUGGGGCAGGCAGCAGGUGCGGCUGCAGAAAAGCGAAGGACUCCGAGCCCCGUGGUGCCUGCCUAAGAGUGAGCCAAACUCAGAAAGCCUGAGGCCCUUCUAGAUGAAAGGUGACUGAUGCAAAGCUUGAUCCCAGAUUGGAUCUGGGUUAUGGGAAGACAGCUCACCAGGGACUAUUUAAGGGCAAUUGGCGAAAUGUAGACAUGGAAGAUGGACCAGACAACAGCAUGAGAUGAAUGUUAAAUUUCCUGAUUUUGAUCCUUGUUCUGUGGCUAUGUAAGAGAAUGUCCUUACUUUUAGAAAAUACACAUGGGGCAUUUUUGGGAAGUUUUUAAGGGCAUGGUGUCUGUAACUUACUCUCAAGCAGUUCAGGAAAAUAAUAUAUAAAUUAGAUAUGAAGAGAAGUGAGGGGAGGAGAAUAACACAAAUGGGGGCAAAAUAUUAACAUUGGUGCAUCUGGAUAAGAUGAUCUUUGGACAGAGUUCUUUGAACUAUUCUUGAAACAUCUGCAUAAAAUUUGAAGUUAUAUCAAAUUUGAAACUUACAAAGAAAAGGCUUAGGGUUGGAUUCUGCUUGGGCUGGAACAUAAACUCAAGUGCCGAUGGGAUAUGUGCCUGUUGGACAAGGCCCAACUUCUCCAACCUUGGAAUCAAGUUGGACACUGUUGCCCUCAUUUUCUGUCCCACACCAUUUUACCUCAAAGCAAUCAUUGAAAACCCAGCUUUGGAAAGAUAUGACAACUGUGAAAGGAAUAUACUGCAAUCUGAUGUUCGAACUGUGAACUUCCUCAAUCGAGUAGUUCCCAAGGUGUCCAAGAAGGGUCAGCUAUCAAUGUAUAUCCUCUGAAAACUGGAAAUAUUCCAUGGCACCCCUGUGAACUCACUGUGGCCCCUACAGUUUGAGAACCAUAGCCUUGUCUCAUAUUGCUUCUGAUACACAGAGUGCCAUGCUGAUUUGGGUGUAUUCUUUUCCUGUCUUUGUACUCUCCACAUAUAUUAUAAAAUGUGGACCAGAAGAAUUCUAUAUUUCCCUUUUUUUAAUUUGACAAUGUUAUGAGUGUAUUCCCAUGUCAAUAAAAAUUCUUUUAAAAAUUAUUUAUAUCUGAAUCAUAUACCAAAUUUACCAAUAUCGAAUUUAAUCUUCCUCCAGUCCUUGAAUUUUCCAGCUGUAUUUCAUUUUGCUAUUAUCUGUCAAUAUUCCUUAAAAUGGAUUUCUAGAAGCAGUAUUACCAAAUGAACUUCUUAAACAAUCUUGAUAACUAUUGUUAAAUUGCUUUUCAGAAAUAAUGCACUAAUUUAUAUUCCAAUAAAAAAUACAUGGCAGUGGCUAUUUUGCCACAUUCUUAACUGCACUGGGUAUUUCCAUUAAUAAAAUAAAAUCUCCUC
rnacentral:lncRNA from 1 species